rnacentral:rRNA from 1 species
GAUGAACGCUGGCGGCGUGCCUAACACAUGCAAGUCGAGCGAGACGGUUAUGAAGGAUCCUUCGGGUGACUGAUUAACUAGACAGCGGCGGACGGGUGAGUAACGCGUGGAUAACCUGCCUUAUACUGGGGGAUAACGCUUUGAAAAGAACGCUAAUACCGCAUAAGCGCACAGUAUCGCAUGAUACAGUGUGAAAAACUCCGGUGGUAUAAGAUGGAUCCGCGUCAGAUUAGCUAGUUGGUGAGAUAAAAGCUCACCAAGGCGACGAUCUGUAGCCGACCUGAGAGGGUGAUCGGCCACAUUGGGACUGAGACACGGCCCAA